CUUUGGUUGGGGCGACCGCGGGGAAACACAAAACCCCCAUGUGGAAUGGGACUACUCCCUCCUACAACUCAGAGCCUCCGCUCUAAUGAACAGAAUU
rnacentral:rRNA from 1 species